rnacentral:tRNA from 1 species
AGGGGAGUAGCUCAAUUGGUAGAGCACCCGGCUCCAAACUGGGCGGCUGCGGGUUCAAGUCCUGUCUCCCCUG